UGGUGACUCAUCAUCAGCAGAAGGCUAGAGAAGGGGCAGAGGCUGAGUGCAUCUUCCAGAUCUAGUGGACAAGGUCCUGUAAAUGCUACCACAAGUCUCGAAUCUGCACAUUUUGCUCCUGCAUAUGCAUAUUAUGCUCCUACAGUUGUACAUUCUGCUUUAACACCCUCGUCUACAAGUCCUGAAGCUCAAUGGAAUCUGUACUACCACUAGGAGGGUAUGUCGCACAAGAAGAUGAAGCAUCCCACCCAUAAAAC
rnacentral:lncRNA from 1 species